AACGAACGCUGGCGGCAGGCCUAACACGUGCAAGUCGAGCGAGACCUUCGGGUCUAGCGGCGGACGGGUGAGUAACGCGUGGGAACGUGCCCUUUUCUGCGGAAUAGCCUCGGGAAACUGAGCGUAAUACCGCAUACGCCCUUUGGGGGAAAGAUUUAUCGGAAAAGGAUCGGCCCGCGUUGGAUUAGGUAGUUGGUGGGGUAAUGGCCUACCAAGCCUACGAUCCAUAGCUGGUUUGAGAGGAUGAUCAGCCACACUGGGACUGAGACACGGCCCAGACUCCUACGGGAGGCAGCAGUGGGGAAUCUUAGACAAUGGGGGCAACCCUGAUCUAGCCAUGCCGCGUGAGUGAUGAAGGCCUUAGGGUUGUAAAGCUCUUUCAGCUGGGAAGAUAAUGACGGUACCAGCAGAAGAAGCCCCGGCUAACUCCGUG
rnacentral:rRNA from 1 species